CUAGCGAGACUGCCGGUAAUAAACCGGAGGAAGGUGGGGAUGACGUCAAAUCAUCAUGCCCCUUAUGGACCUGGGCUACACACGUGCUACAAUGGUUGGUACAACGAGGUUGCGAGUCGGUGACGGCGAGCUAAUCUCUUAAAGCCAAUCUCAGUUCGGAUUGUAGGCUGCAACUCGCCUACAUGAAGUCGGAAUCGCUAGUAAUCGCGGAUCAGCACGCCGCGGUGAAUACGUUCCCGGGCCUU
rnacentral:rRNA from 1 species